UGCCCCAUGGCUGAGUUGGUUACAGCGUCCGACUGUUACGAUGUUCUGCCCCUCAUUCGAGGCUGGAACACCCAGAUAGCAAUCGGAAGGUCGAGAGUUCGAGCCUCUCUGGGGCAG